rnacentral:rRNA from 1 species
AUACGAAGGGGGCAAGCGUUGUUCGGAAUAACUGGGCGUAAAGCGCACGUAGGCGGAAUGUUAAGUUCGAGGUGAAAUCCCAGGGCUCAACCCUGGAACGGCCUUUAAUACUGGCAAUCUAGAGACCGAGAGAGGUGAGUGGAAUUCCGAGUGUAGAGGUGAAAUUCGUAGAUAUUCGGAGGAACACCAGUGGCGAAGGCGGCUCACUGGCUCGGUACUGACGCUGAGGUGCGAAAGCGUGGGGAGCAAACAGGAUUAGAAACCCUAGUAGUCC